rnacentral:rRNA from 1 species
AACCAGUACCGUGAGGGAAAGGCGAAAAGAACCCCGGCGAGGGGAGUGAAAAAGAACCUGAAACCGUGUACGUACAAGCAGUGGGAGCCUCUUUAUGGGGUGACUGCGUACCUUUUGUAUAAUGGGUCAGCGACUUAUAUUCUGUAGCAAGGUUAACCGAAUAGGGGAGCCGAAGGGAAACCGAGUCUUAACUGGGCGUUAAGUUGCAGGGUAUAGACCCGAAACCCGGUGAUCUAGCCAUGGGCAGGUUGAAGGUUGGGUAACACUAACUGGAGGACCGAACCGACUAAUGUUGAAAAAUUAGCGGAUGACUUGUGGCUGGGGGUGAAAGGCCAAUCAAACCGGGAGAUAGCUGGUUCUCCCCGAAAGCUAUUUAGGUAGCGCCUCGUGAAUUCAUCUCCGGGGGUAGAGCACUGUUUCGGCAAGGGGGUCAUCCCGACUUACCAACCCGAUGCAAACUGCGAAUACCGGAGAAUGUUAUCACGGGAGACACACGGCGGGUGCUAACGUCCGUCGUGAAGAGGGAAACAACCCAGACCGCCAGCUAAGGUCCCAAAGUCAUGGUUAAGUGGGAAACGAUGUGGGAAGGCCCAGACAGCCAGGAUGUUGGCUUAGAAGCAGCCAUCAUUUAAAGAAAGCGUAAUAGCUCACUGGUCGAGUCGGCCUGCGCGGAAGAUGUAACGGGGCUAAACCAUG